rnacentral:rRNA from 1 species
GACGAACGCUGGCGGCGUGCUUAACACAUGCAAGUCGAACGGAAAGGCCCCCACUUUUUUGGUGGGGUUGCUCGAGUGGCGAACGGGUGAUUAACACGUGGGUGAUCUGCCCUGUACUUCGGGAUAAGCUUGGGAAACUGGGUCUAUUACCGGUUAGGACCAUGGUUUAGUUUCUCAUGGUGGAAAAAUUAUUGUUUUGUUUCAGGAUGAGCUCGCGGCCUAUCAGCUUGUUGGUGGGGUAAUGGCCUACCAAGGCGUCGACGGGUAGCCGGCCUGAGAGGGUGGACGGCCAAAUUGGGACGGAGAUACGGACCAGACUACUACGGGAGGCAGCAGUGGGGAAUAUUGCACAAUGGGCGCAAGCCUGAUGCAGCGAAGCCGCGUGGGGGAUGACGGCCGUCGGGUUGUAAACUCCUUUCGUUAGGGACGAAGACGAACCUUUUUUGGGUGUGGUGACGGUACCUUUGUUAAGAAGCACCGGCUAACUACGUG